UUUCCGGUUGAUCCUGCCGGAGGUCAUUGCUAUCGGAGUCCGAUUUAGCCAUGCUAGUCGUGCGAGUUCAUACUCGCGGCACCGAGCUCAGUAACACGUGGCCAAACUACCCUACAGAGACGGAUACCCUCGGGAAACUGAGGCUAACCCGUCAUACCGAUCUCAGGCUUGAAUCGCAGAGAUCACCAAACGCCCCGGCGCUGUAGGAUGUGGCUGCGGUUGAUUAGGUUGACGGUGGGGUAACGGCCCACCGUGCCCAUAAUCAGUACAGGUUGUGAGAGCAAGAACCUGGAGACGGAAUCUGAGACAAGAUUCCGGGCCCUACGGGGCGCAGCAGGCGCGAAACCUUUACACUGCACGCACGUGCGAUAAGGGGACUCCGAGUGCGAGGGCAUAUCGUCCUCGCUUUCGUGUACCGUAGGGUGGUACACCAACAAGGGCUGGGCAAGACCGGUGCCAGCCGCCGCGGUAAUACCGGCAGCCCGAGUGAUGACCGAUCUUAUUGGGCCUAAAGCGUCCGUAGCUGGCUGCGCAAGUCCGUCGGGAAAUCCACCUGCCCAACAGGUGGGCGUCCGGCGGAAACUGUGUGGCUUGGAACCGGAAGGCUCAGAGGGUACGUUCGGGGUAGGAGUGAAAUCCCGUAAUCCCGCACGGACCACCGAUGGCGAAAGCACUUCGAGAAAACGGAUCCGACAGUGAGGGACGAAAGCCAGGGUCUCCAACCGGAUUAGAUACCCGGGUAGUCCUGGCCGUAAACAAUGUUCGCUAGGUAUGACACAGACUACGUGUCUCUGUUGUGCCGUAGGGAAGCCGAGAAGCGAACCGCCUGGGAAGUACGUCUGCAAGGAUGAAACUUAAAGGAAUUGGCGGGGGAGCACUACAACCGGAGGAGCCUGCGGUUUAAUUGGAUUCAACGCCGGAA
rnacentral:rRNA from 1 species